ensembl:lncRNA
GUGUGUGUGUGUGUGUGUGUGUGUGUGUGUGUGUGUGUGUGUGUGUGUGUGUGUGUGUGUGUGUGUGUGUGUGUGUGUGUGUGUGUGUGUGUGUGUGUAUUGUGCGCGAGCACUGCAUUCAUAACAUUCGUCUUCACAGAUAUCACGUGCCCGCGCUGAGAGAGGCGUGUCCCGGGUUUUUUCAACUGCGAGUCAACGGUGUCGCAGCGAAGAGACUUUCUUUGACUUCCUUUCACCUGAUUAACUUGUUUUAGAAACACUCUAACCUCCGUUUCUUCCCUUACAUUUAAACUUUUACAACUUUAUACCGUAUGGACGCAAUAUAAUCCCGGAGUAGAAACGAUAAGGUAAGUCUACUAUGGAUGAGGAGAGAGAGGAGGGGGGUCCUACCUCUAAGACCACUCUGUCUGGGGAACAUGGCCGCCGGAGCAAAGCUAAGAGCCCAGAGCAGCAGCAGAGAGCAGACUCCCCUGGACCCAGCUGUGUCUCCAUGAAGAGUGACCACUCUAUGAAUCAUCCUGCUGAGUUGAAAGAUGGAAAUCAGUCUAUUGAGAAAAGCCCAGAGCAGCAGCAGAGAGCAGACUCCCCUGGACCCAGCUGUGUCUCCAUGAAGAGUGACCACUCUAUGAAUCAUCCUGCUGAGUUGAAAGAUGGAAAUCAGUCUAUUGAGAAAAGCCCAGAGCAGCAGCAGAGAGCAG